AGAGUUUGAUCCUGGCUCAGAUUGAACGCUGGCGGCAUGCCUUACACAUGCAAGUCGAACGGCAGCACGGGAGCAAUCCUGGUGGCGAGUGGCGAACGGGUGAGUAAUAUAUCGGAACGUGCCCAGUCGUGGGGGAUAACGUAGCGAAAGCUACGCUAAUACCGCAUACGAUCUACGGAUGAAAGCGGGGGACUCGUAAGGGCCUCGCGCGAUUGGAGCGGCCGAUAUCAGAUUAGGUUGUUGGUGAGGUAAAAGCUCACCAAGCCUGCGAUCUGUAGCUGGUCUGAGAGGACGACCAGCCACACUGGAACUGAGACACGGUCCAGACUCCUACGGGAGGCAGCAGUGGGGAAUUUUGGACAAUGGACGCAAGUCUGAUCCAGCAAUGCCGCGUGCAGGACGAAGGCCUUCGGGUUGUAAACUGCUUUUGUACGGAACGAAACGGUCUGCUUUAAUACAGUGGGCUAAUGACGGUACCGUAAGAAUAAGAC
rnacentral:rRNA from 1 species